GGUUCUGUAGUGUAGCGGUCAUCACUCCGGAUUCUGAUUCAUGCGAGUUGGGAUCUUCCGGCAACGUAAGCCAUGCCAACCCUAAAAAUUAUAUUACAUGCGCUAACAUAUACAUCAGCCCGGUUCGAAUCCGGGCAGGACCU